rnacentral:ribozyme from 1 species
AGUCUUAGCCAACAAAUAACUGUUAAAUGACUGUUAUACAGCCGUUAGAUAUACAUUAUUUAACGGCUAUAUAAUAGUUAUUUAACAGCUAUUUAAUGGCCAAGACUGACCCCUUGACGUGACAACUUGAAAUGACCCUUUUGUUUUACUUUAUAACCAUUCUUGACCAUUA